rnacentral:lncRNA from 1 species
GGUAAACCUCGUGGGUCUAUCUCAGGGUUAAAUAUUCACAUAGAGCACGUGAGCUCUGCUUGCCAGCAGCAUGUGAACAGCAAUGGCAUCACAGAGAUCCACGUUUGUAUUUUAUGGAAGGGACAGGUUUUUGCUUUUCCUGACAGCUGCCACAGCAGCAGGGUGGAGUUCAUUUCUUUUGUUCCUGAGAGCUGAAUAGGAGAAAGGGACAUUUCAGCUUUUCUUGAUAAAGGAACAGCCCAUGUGUGCUGGAUAACUUCAGUGACUUGGUAGAACUUCGUAUACCCACCUCUGUACUUGCAAAGGGCUUUUGGGGAUGCUUGAGUGCUCCUCCCUCCCAGGGCUGUGUGUACACAGUCACGAAAUGAUCGUGAGAGAGCUUCGUAAGAACUCCUGAAGGAUCUUUCAAGGUAAAGUGUAAAUUUAGCAUUGUUGUUUUAUUAAAUAAUCUUUCAGCUAUUCCAGCUUUUGAUCCUGUUGCAGCAGUGGUAUGUGUUGAGGUAAACAGGAGCCUUGGAAACACGGUGUGAUGCUGCAUAAUCAGCUUCCCCAAAAUCCGUGAAUGAAACUGUGCCCUCAUUGGAGGGAGUGGAGCUGGGAUCCACACACAGGCACUUCCUGAGCAGAAGGUGGGCUCAGCUCUUACAAAUUACAUGAACCACAAGCUACAUAACUGUAAAAGUCUCAGGCAAGU